AUGCUGCCGUGCUGGCUCCAGAUGACAGAAGCAGAUCGCCUGCAGGGCUUCCCAAAAAUUCACAAAGAAAGAAAGACAGAUGGGCCAGGCAGGAACGCCCAGAGGACAAUUAGAGGAGAAAGAAGCCCGCGGGAGCAGCUCGGUACAUACCUGGGGAAAAGUUGCAGGCGGUCCUUCUCAGCUGUGUGCCUUCUCCGACAGGUUUCGGCCCCAUUGAGAAAACUACCCUUCGCCCUGGGUCAUGGCAGAAAUGUGGGGCCUUGGACACCAGCUGUUCCCCAGGAGGUUUUCCCAGCUGCUGCUAUGGCCAACUCUGUGGUGGAGGAGCCCAGGGGUGGGGGAUUCCAAGAGCAGACAUUCCAUGUAGGAUGGAGCCAAACCAGGUCAAAGGCAGAACAGUUGAACUAUUUGGGAAACAGGUGGGAACAACGGAAAAUUCAUUUGGUUAAAUGUGUGCUUCAAUCAACACAAAAGUUAUCACAGUUGCUUGGUUUGGAAAG
rnacentral:lncRNA from 1 species